rnacentral:piRNA from 1 species
UAUACUUUGCAGGUUAAGAUUUCUGUUUGU